rnacentral:rRNA from 1 species
AUUGAACGCUGGCGGCAGGCCUAACACAUGCAAGUCGAGCGGAUGAAGGGAGCUUGCUCCUGGAUUCAGCGGCGGACGGGUGAGUAAUGCCUAGGAAUCUGCCUGGUAGUGGGGGAUAACGUCCGGAAACGGGCGCUAAUACCGCAUACGUCCUGAGGGAGAAAGUGGGGGAUCUUCGGACCUCACGCUAUCAGAUGAGCCUAGGUCGGAUUAGCUAGUUGGUGGGGUAUAGGCCUACCAAGGCGACGAUCCGUAACUGGUCUGAGAGGAUGAUCAGUCACACUGGAACUGAGACACGGUCCAGACUCCUACGGGAGGCAGCAGUGGGGAAUAUUGGACAAAGGGCGAAAGCCUGAUCCAGCCAUGCCGCGUGUGUGAAGAAGGUCUUCGGAUUGUAAAGCACUUUAAGUUGGGAGGAAGGGCAGUAAGUUAAUACCUUGCUGUUUUGACGUUACCAACAGAAUAAGCACCGGCUAACUUCGUG